rnacentral:lncRNA from 1 species
UAGGGACUUGAGUGAGGUAAUUAAGGUAAAAUGAAGUCACACGAGUAGGUCCUAAUCCAAUAUGCCUGAUAUCCAUAUAAGAAACAUUAAAACAUAGUCACACACAAAGGGAAGACUAUGUGAAGACGCAGAAGAUGACCAUAAGAAGCCAAGAAGAGACACCUCAGAUCACAAUCCUGCCAACAUUUUGAUCUUAGACUUGUAAGCUCCAGAAGAAUGAGGAAAUAAAUUUAUUUAAAAUCUCCAAUCUGUGAUACUUCAUUAUAGCAGCCCAUGCAAACCAAUGCAUAUGGGUACAGAUAUUGAUGUAUAGAUAUUUCACAUACCCAUACAAAAAAUGGUGUGUUUUGUUGGUAGUGAUGGAAAGAAGUGGAGAAUGUACUUAACUUCACUUUAUCAGAUAAUCUAUUUUGAAAACCACUAAGUGGCUAAUUCAUCUUUUAUUCAAUGUAUUAGAUAACACUUAUCAUUUAUUAAAUUCCUUUAUAUACCUGCAUCAGAUUUUGGACUCACUUUCUGUACUAUACAGGUGGCUAUAUGGAAGUUUGUCUCUGGAAAACCAAAUUUUUGGACAUGUCAUCAGUAAAGGCGACUUGGAAACACAGUGACUGUUGUUGGCUCUCAUAUCUGACAUCUGAGGUUGAAUGCAGAUUAGAGGUAUGAUUUAAAUGUACUUUAAAGCACUUGUACUUUUUUAAUGUCCUAUAUAAAUAAUUAGUAACACAUGUCAUCUUAUUUUCAGUUUAAAACUUAAAAUACAGUAUUCUGAAAUUCC